rnacentral:rRNA from 1 species
UAGGGAAUUUUGCGCAAUGGGCGAAAGCCUGACGCAGCAACGCCGCGUGAUUGAUGAAGCCCUUCGGGGUGUAAAGAUCUGUCAGUGGGGACGAAACUUGACGGUACCCACAGAGGAAGCACCGGCUAACUCCGUGCCAGCAGCCGCGGUAAUACGGAGGGUGCAAGCGUUGUCCGGAAUCAUUGGGCGUAAAGAGUUCGUAGGCGGCAUGUUAAGUUUGGUGUUAAAUCCUGAGGCUCAACCUCAGAUCGGCACCGGAUACUGGCAAGCUAGAAUGCGGUAGAGGUAAAGGGAAUUCCUGGUGUAGCGGUGAAAUGCGUAGAUAUCAGGAAGAACACCGGUGGCGUAAGCGCUUUACUGGGCCGUUAUUGACGCUGAGGAACGAAAGCCGGGGGAGCGAAUG